GAACGACUCUCGGCAACGGAUAUCUCGGCUCUCGCAUCGAUGAAAAACGUAGCGAAAUGCGAUACUUGGUGUGAAUUGCAGAAUCCCGUGAACCAUCGAGUCUUUGAACGCAAGUUGCGCCCGAAGCCUUCGGGCCGAGGGCACGUCUGCCUGGGCGUCACGCA
rnacentral:rRNA from 1 species